rnacentral:rRNA from 1 species
AUUGAACGCUGGCGGCAUGGCUAAAACAUGCAAGUCGAACGCGAAAGGGGGCAACCCCGAGUAGAGUGGCGAAAGGGCGAGUAACACGUUUCUAACGUACCCCAGACUCGAGGAUAGCUCACCGAAGGGUGAAUUAAUACUCGAUGAUGCCCACGGGUUGUAUGACCUGUGUGCCAAAGGCUUGCUGGUCUGGGAGCGGGGAACGUCCUAUCAGGUAGUUGGUGAGGUAAUGGCUCACCAAGCCUAUGACGGGUGGCGGGUGUGAGAGCACGGCUCGCCGCAUCGGGACUGAGACACUGCCCGGACUCCUACGGGAGGCUGCAGUAACGAAUAUUCCGCAAUGCGACGAAAGCGU